rnacentral:rRNA from 1 species
CAGCGCCGCAAGUGGGAAUCGUAUAUUUGGCCUAAAGCGUUCGUAGCCGGAUUUGCAAAUCUUCUGUGAAAUUGUACAGCUCAACUGUACAGCGUGCAGGAAACACUACAAAUCUUGGAACCGGGAGGGGUACAGAGUAUUCCAGGGGAAGCGGUAAAAUGCUAUAAUCCCUGGAGGACUACCUAUGGCGAAGGCACUGUACCAGAACGGAUUCGACGGUGAGGGACGAAAGCCAGGGGAGCGAUCCGGAUUAGAUACCCGAGUAGUCC